rnacentral:rRNA from 1 species
AACGAACGCUGGCGGCAUGCCUAACACAUGCAAGUCGAACGAGACCUUCGGGUCUAGUGGCGCACGGGUGCGUAACGCGUGGGAACCUGCCCUUAGGUUCGGAAUAACUCCCCGAAAGGGGUGCUAAUACCGGAUAAUGUCUUCGGACCAAAGAUUUAUCGCCUUUGGAUGGGCCCGCGUUGGAUUAGCUAGUUGGUAGGGUAAAAGCCUACCAAGGCGACGAUCCAUAGCUGGUCUGAGAGGAUGAUCAGCCACACUGGGACUGAGACACGGCCCAGACUCCUACGGGAAGCAGCAGUGGGGAAUAUUGGACAAUGGGCGAAAGCCUGAUCCAGCAAUGCCGCGUGAGUGAUGAAGGCCUUAGGGUUGUAAAGCUCUUUUACCCGGGAUGAUAAUGACAGUACCGGGAGAAUAAGCUCCGGCUAGCUCCGUG